AGAUAAUUUUAUUAAGAUUUAUUUAUGUAGUUAGGAGAUAAUAGAUGACAAAUAUUAGCAGAUGCUCAAGUUGUGGUAUCGAAUCUCUUGUAUAUCUAUUUUUUUCUUUAUCUCUCUCACUCUUUAUAUAUAUGAAACUUGGGUUUUUGGAAAUUAUAUAUUACAAGCUACUGGAUUUAAUAGUGUACAACACCCUUGUAAAGUCAUCCUCUUUCAUUUGACUUGGGUUUUCUAUUUUAUUCGGGGGCUGUGUUAGCAUUGUUGCACAAAAAAGGAAUGCAUAAAUCAAAGCGUCGUAUACAGAACGCGAGGUAACAAUGAUAUCGGUGUGCUUUAGAUCGUUUUAGUAGUUACCACCUCUACUUCUUACUUUGUAGUCUAGUGUUAUGUAGUGGAUAGGAUGUGUAUAUAAUUCUUUGGAGCGCUACCGCGUCAAAGGAAUUGGAGGAAUUCUAUGAUGGCAUUUUUUUUUGCGUCUAAGAGGCGCGACCACAAUACCUUGCGAUGACAAAUUACUUUUUAGUCGUUGAAAAACAGAGAAAGACAAAGUGUCUUGUGAAAAUUUUAGUAUACCACUUUUUCUACUAAAAAAAAAAAUCAUAAAUAAAUAAAAGUCAGUUAUUUUUUUUUAGUUGAUUAAAAAAAUUAUUAAAAAACGAAAAGUGUACUAGUUAACUAUAAAAGAGUGAUAUAAAGCAAAGUAAAGCAAAUAAAAUAAAUAUAAAGUUCUUUUUACUCAUUGACGACAAUUCGUUCGUAAAACUUGUGUGCAAGAGUUACGAGUUCACCAGGCGAUAAAGUCUGGGCUCGUAGAACGCCCUGGAAAAAAAUAAAAGUGAAAAAAAAAAAUAAAAAUAAAAAAGAUUAAGAGAGAGAGAAAGAGAGAGAUACGAGCAAUGCAGAGAUUUUGUCGGCGGUUAGUUUGUUUUAUGGCGAAGCCAAUGUUCAGAAGGAAGUUUGUGCUUAUUCUUUCUGGUCCAUCUGCACUUUAUGGCCCUUUAAGGAAUUUAGCCUAAACAUAAUUGAUGGAUUGUACUUUUGCCAAGUAAAUAGACGAUGUUCUUUGUCUACCCAUUUAUAGCAUUCACUAUAUACACCUAAUCUAUUAAGAUAUACAUUCCUGCUGCUUGCAAGAUACAAUUUUAGUUUACCGGACCACCGACAGCUCUUUCUCUACCGCCGGUCAUUAACAUUCCCAACGCAAUUGCCCACCCCCACAUCAAAAGCGACCAAGAUAUAACGGUUCGAAAUAUGAUAAAAAAAAACCACAAGACAUGUUGCUCAACAGGCAACACAGGCGCAACAGAUCAAAUCCCAAUCCAAGUCAGCAGGAACCAAACAACAAAAUAAUCGUCAGUAAAUCCUUCAACAUCAAAAUACACUCGUUUAUUCAUCGGCACAGUAGCGCACGUGCUAAUACAACUGUAGACAUCGUCAUCAGCCAGCAGAUGAAACCUGAGAUCAGCAAUCACGAUCACGACUUUAUUUUAUAACAUUAUUUACUUUUUUUCAGCGUCAUAUUGUCGCCCAGGUCUGAGAGUACCACCCGCGAUGAUAAUUCGCGUGGAAGUACCCGAGUCUUGCCGCCGUGGCGACCCCCGUUGCGUCAUCACCGCGGGCCGAAAGGGCCCAUCAAGGGGACUCAGUAACGCCCCUGAGAUCCGAGACGCGCGCGGCACCCUUUGGCCUCGCGACCAAAAACUUUCCGUAUAAUCAUUCUUUUUUUUUUGUUAUUUCAAUUUUUUACUCUCUUUUUUAAGUGCUUUUACAUCAUCGCAAUGAACUGAAGAGGCGGCAAGAAAGUAAGAUAUAGAGCGUACAUUUAGUUUGAGAUUGACAGGCAUUUUUUUCGAGGACAAUGAAAAACUGGUAGCUCCGGUGUAUAGUUAUAGUUUACGCUGUACAUAGUUGUGCAGAGUAACCUCUGGUUGUAGACCAAGAAAAAAGAAUCGCGAACCCGUUUUCACGUCAACGCCCACCGGAAGCAGCUGGGAGCCACCGGUAUGAAUGCCUACGAAUUGCUCCGUCAAGAUAUGGGAGCAAGGAUCCGAUUACGCGUGAUAUGAAAAAGAAUUUUAUUUUAUAAUAUGUAAGUACGUUAUAUGGGUGACCGUUUUGGGCCAUUGAACUGCUGCCGAACCCUUCGUUUGUUUAAGUCGACGAGUCUCUCCAAAUUAUUAUGUGCCUAUAAGUACACAGAGAAAAAGUUCAUAUGCACAUUGAAAUACAUCACGAGUUAGUGAUUUUUUAUAGUUUUCGAAAGGGGCCGGCACAAAAAAGUGUAAAGAUUUAUUUUUUUAAAAAUAGUGUCGCAAGCGUGAGUAUGAUUGAUGAGACGUUGGAAGAAUGAUCGAAUGGCUUGAGCUGCAUGAGCUAAUUGAGCGGAAGUUGGUCGUCCAUGGGCCAUAAUCCAGAGGGAAACUAGCGUAGGAUCAAAACAAAAAAAUUGUGAAUUUUUAAGAGAGUGUUAUAUAUGUCGAGAGUCUGCUACUGAUGCUUCCACGAAAAAGUUUUAACGCAUCUGCAUGAUGCUGUAUACCUACAUCCACACAGAUGACGCCAAUUUGUUGGUCCUUUUGGAUCCAUCAUGUAGAAGAAGGUCGAAAUAUAUCCGUCAUACAAUGCAUCCAACAUCUGUGAAGCAGGACAAACAUCAGGCACUCAUAAGUGUCGAGCUCGAAGAUUUUUUUUAUGAUUAAGUCUUGUGAUGAGUUGAAACAGCGUACUGGUUAUGUAGAAAUAUUUUGUGGAUGUUUUUAUAUAUUUGUAUGUUAUAAGUUAUUCUUACUAACGAGAAGUUAAUAAGCUUGUUGCAGACUCAAGGGGUGGACCCGGAUAGUUUACGAGUUUAAAAAGCACAUUGGCCGUGAAAAAUUAAACAUUCGAAUCCUAUCAAAGGCCAACGGGGAUUCCUACAGUGUUCACUGACAGGUGGCUUCAUCACCAACUGUGGCGCUCCGCCUUAUGUAUCUCAAAGACAUAUAUUUUUCUUUUGUUCCAACGCGUUCAUGAAAAAAUAAAAAACAACAAAAAAAAAAAGUCGAUGUUUAUCAUGAAUCCAAGAGAAAAUAAUCUUUGAGGUUGCGGUCCAAAAAUUUCUUUUUGCCCACAAAAGAGAAAUAAAUAAAAAAUGGUCGUAAUAACGGCGGUAAGAGGUGGAGCUGUUGAGGAUAUUCAUCCAGGAUCCAGCGAAGAAUUUUCUUUUGUUCAUAAACCGACACGGUUGCUGGCGGUAUAUUUACAAACAAUAAAAGACACUCGUAUUAUAUAAAUGUCCCUAAAAUAUAUAAUACAGCAGUUUUGAAUAUUAUGUUUGAUCAACUCAUUACUAGAUACACCUCUCUGUUUUAUUAAACUUCGACCAUCUUCUUUGGCUUUGAUAUUUGUGCCCAAGUUUAGUAUUUUACUUAAUGUUUUCUUCUGCUUUAUCGAAUUGUCACGUACAAUACUCAUUCAGUUCAGUCACCCUAGUAACUAAAGUGUUACCAAACAUCAGUAAGUAUCUCAUUAUUAACAGACAAGUACUUUGACUUUGCCUAAUAAAAGACCUCAUUAUUCCGACGUCUCGAUCUUGUUCAGCAUCCCAAGUGUUUGACUGGCACGUGUAUCGAGUAAACGCCUACCCAACGAACGCAUCAUCAAAACGUCCAAAAUUAAUCCUAAACUAGAUUCUUAACGAACUGCUUCAUUAAAGUUGAUCGUCUGUAUACGUUUUUCUAACGUAAAUAUCAUGCACACACUUUGUGACAUACUUUUAUAAAUAAAAUCAAACACACAUAUAUUUAUAUUUAGAUUUAUAGGUUGAAUACAUCGAAAACCUUUUUUGUCACAGCAUGUUACAACUAUUUAAUGUUCGCCGCGCCUUUAACGUCCUUUUCAUUCAGCUCUUUUGACAUCAUCAGCAAAGCAUCCAUAUAGAGAGCACACAGUGCGUGUCACGCCCACGACCCCGUCGAGAUAAUUUCAGUACUGGUUCCAUGCAUGAUGUUGUAUGCUGCCGUUGCUGUAGCACUCGUAGCUCUUACGCGAGGGUGCAAUCUUCUUUGAGAGAGUGGAUAACGUGUGCUCCAACUGGCCCCCAGGGUGUAUAUGUUAGCUGCCUCAGCACGCGUUAAGGCGUACCAGAGGUACCCGUACAACCGCCCCUGACGACCCCUAGGUGGUCCAGGGCGGCGUUGGGUGGUACGAGCUUGUCAUAUUCCUUAGAUAUGUGUACCCGAGACCCAUCAGAAUAAAUAAAUACCACCAACCCGUCCAGAUUUUGUUUCAACCUACUUCUAAAUUUGAUGCCUUAUGCCUUAUGGUUCUACAAUAAGUAACAAAAGCUGCCGCUGUGAAAAUUUUCAAGUAGAGUAAAACAGAAGAGAAGUAAAAAAUUAAAUUAAAAUAGGAAUAGUAUAAAAAAAAGGAGCCUUGAAUUUUUUGUUUGAGCUAAUAAGUUGGACAUACAACGUGAUAUUUAUGAUGAACCUGCGGCGCUCAAUAAAUUAUAAUUAAUGCACACUACUAUAUCAGGAUACGUAACAAAAGAACCGGUAGCCGAUUGCAGGGACGCAUAAACCCACAUGGCUCAUUAACUGGCAGAAUAGCAUCAACCAAAUCACUUUGGUCUUUUAUAGCCUUAUAGUGCCUGCCGAAAGGCUUACAGACUAAAUGCUCACCGUUUUAAGUAUUAUAACCACGAAAAGACUUUACGAGCUGAGCAUUAAAAUUCUAAACGCGUUGAAAACAAAAAUAUUACGCAUACGGUGUGGUCCUCGUGGAUGCACACUCUUUUAUUAAACCACCAUCCAUAAAUGAAUUCGGAAAGUUAUCAUGCAACAUAAACUAUUUUUUAAAUUUUUAUGAUGCAUCGUUAGUAGUAAUUUGAAUGCGCACUCACAACAUAGAUGAAUGUAUAUACUAUAGAUAAAAAUAUUUUGAAUUGAAGGCUUUGGAUGAAUAAUACAGAAAUGGAAUUUAAUUACAGACUUAUCGAUAUCCUAUUCUGUUGACAGUUUGUAUGCAAUGUUAAAAUAUACGUUUGCAUAUGUUGGCUGCUCUACUCGCUCUGGAUACUGUCAUUUGAUUUGUACUAUGUGUAGCAUAUAUACGUUAGAAUAAAUGAUUGCUGGUACCAUGAUGUCCCGAUACUACGUGCAGUCAGCCCGGAAUUUGCAGAAAUGAUUGAUGAGGGAAUAUAUACUCAGUCUGCAUAUACACACUGCUCUCUAUCGCAUAAUUUUACGGUGGUAAUGAUACGGUCCGGUUUUGCUUCUGCUCCGUUUUCGCAUCACGUAAAUGUUAUUCCCUCUUUCUUCGUUUCUAUCUCUUCACAAACACCUCUACAACUUUAUACACAUAAAUUUAAUGUUGCAUCUCUAUAUAUAUCUAUCAAUACAAGCCAUCGGCCAAGUCACUGUGUCUUCAAUGUAUGUAAUAAUAGACCAAAGACCGUAUAUCUGUAUCUCUCUGUACCGAGCACGUCACAUGUUACUCCCUCAUACGAUAUACAGAAUACACUCAUCGACUGCGCAUCAAAUAUGUUACCACAUUUAUGUGUAAUAUAUGUCAUUGAUAGUUUUAAUGGGCAAUGCUCUUUAAUAAUUGAUAAAUUUAGGGUGAACAUGAAAGCUAUAGACACGAAAACCUCUCAUACAUUUCAAAUGAAGUGGAUGCAUUUGAUAUAUUAUUAGGAUUUCAAAAAUGGAUAACUUUAUUUAGAAAAAUUAUGAUAAUAAAUAAUAAAUAUUAAGUCAACGAGAUAUUCUCAUUUUAUUUCGAUUGUUAUAUUUUCUUAUUGACCAUUUUUAUGAACUGCUGUAUAUUUAUAUAUAGAUACGUGGAGAAAUUAUUCUUGAUUGAAAUGCUAUAGUGUUAAAGCAAUGUCGGACCAUGUUGCCCACCUAUCGGAAAUUGAAAUAAACACAUACUAUGACCAUUAGGGUCAUAAAAAAAAUAGUCUUCUGAUAGAUUUUGAGAGCUUGACAUUAAAAUAAAAAAAAACUAGAAAACAAUGCCGAAUUCGAAAAAACUUUAUUAGAAAUAACUUCUAAGGAAUAAAAUUGUCUACAAAAAAGGUUCAAUGAUAUUUUGUAAUAGGUCUGAUAGUUGCGCCGAAAAAGUGAAAAGAUCUCAAAAUUUAAUAUGAAUUUGAUUUUAAUCUUAAAUAACUUUUGAACAAAUAGAUUUAUCAAAAAAUGAUAAGAAACUUUUUUUGUAGAGCAUUCAAUUACCUGCAACAAUAUGCCUCCCAAUUAUUCCUAUGACGCAUCGUUAGCUACUUAUAAAAAUCAGAAGACGUAAAAAAAUUUUUUUCCAUGUUAUUCUUAUGGGAAAUAGAAAAGUGCGAUGAGGAACCUCUUAAUGUUAAUAUUAAGAGUUCUAAUUUUUACAGACGUCUUUUUUUAUCUAAAUGAAACAUUUGAACCUGUUUCCGAGAAAAAAAAAAAUUUGUCAUUUUUUGGAUCACCCUAAUGACCAUACUAAAAUUUCCAAUGGUUAUAGUAAUUUGUGACCAUCGUGUAAUUGGUACAUGUAGUGUUCAUUUCAAUUUCCGACAAAUGGGCAACACGGUCCGGCAUUACUAUGACACCAUAGCAUUUCAAGCAAGAAUAAUUUCCCCGUGUAGAUAUGAGGAAAAAUGUUUCGUUCCACCAAGUGAUUGUUUAAUUUCAAGGUAAAGUGCGAAAGUAAUUAAUCAUAUAUACAUGAGUCGGAACAAAUAAUAAUAUUAUAUAUAUACAUAUAUGGGUGGAAAUAAAUUUUUCAUCAAGCUUAUGUUUAUUAACAACAAUAAGUUUUACCGGUUUUUCAUUAUACACUUAUAUUAGUUGGCGCUUUGAAAUUAUUUCGUGCAUGCUCGAGAAAAUUUAUCAUUAUCAUGUUUAA